NNNNNNNNNNNNNNNNNNNNNNNNNNNNNNNNNNNNNNNNGUCGCGGGGAGAGGCAUGAAUCUCUUGGAUCCGCGAAUUGCCGAAUGGGACCUCCUGGCGCUAUGCGCCAUUCCUCAACAGGAAAGGGAACCCCCCGAACUGAAGCAUCUCAGUAGGGGGAGGAAAAGAAAUCAAACGAGAUUCCGUAAGUAGUGGCGAAUGAAAACGGAAUCGGACAAACCGAAUCUCCUUGGGAAACCUUGGAGAGAUGUGGGGUAUGGACUGUCUCAGCCUAAAUCAUGGAAGUGGAAAUCGCCUGGAAUGGCGUGCCAUAGAGGGUGAAAGCCCCGUACAUGCAAAUGAUAUGGCUUUGUGACAGAUUCCUGAGUAGCGUGCGUUGGAUAUCGCUCGUGAAUAUGGGGGGCAGAAACCUCCAAUCCUAAAUACUACUCUAGACCGAUAGUUGACAAGUAGAGUGAUCGAAAGCUGAAAAGUAUCCUUGGCGGGAUGUGAAAAGAACCUGAAACCAGUCGGGAACAGGCUGAAUAUGCGUGAAAGCGAAGAUAUGAGCAGCGUGUAUUCGUGCGUUUCGAAAAAUGCCCCUGGGAGUUCUGAUCAUUGGCGAGGUUAAGCAGUUGAUCUGCGAAGCCGUAGGGAAACCGACAAGUCCGCAGCCGCUUAUGCGGUCAGGGACGGGAUGUGCUCGUCCGAAGUCAAUGGUGGGAGACCUGAAGCCCGUCGAUCUAUUCCUGGCCAGAUUGAAGCCCGGUGAAAGCUGGGUGGAGGAUCGAACCGUUGCUGAUCUGCAAAUCGCUCGGACGAGCUGGGUAUAGGGGUGAAAGUCCAAUCGAGAUGGGCAAUAGCAGGUUCCGCGCGAGACUACUCGCAGGUAGAUCUCCGUUGAGGUAGAUAAUGAUGUAGAGCACUGAUUGGGUAUUUAGGGGGAGCAAUCCCUCGGUACGCUGUCAAACUCCGAAGUUGUUAUCGCCGUAGAAGCGGGGAGUGAGCCACGGUGGGUAAGCUACCGUGACGAAAGGUGAAUAAACCAGCUCAGUGUUAAGGUCCCAAAGUACCAGUUAAGUGUUAAUCAGAAACGGCGUCCGUGGUCGAAGACAACCAGAAGGUGGGCUUAGAAGCAGCCAUCCUUGAAAGAGUUCGUAACAGAUCACUGGUCAAGCUUGCGGGCCCGGAAAAUGGACGGGGCUCAAACUGGUCACCGAUACACUGAUCCUUCGAAAGAAGAUGAGGUAGCGCGGCGAUGUGCUCGGGUAGAAGCGAGGUCGUAAGGUCUCGUGGACCGUGUACAUAUGAGAAUCUAGGGAAGAGUAGCAGCAUAGUAUGGUGAGAAUCCAUACCACCGAAGGGGUAAGGGUUCCUCGGCAAUGUUUUUCAGCCGAGGGUUAGCCGGUCCUAAGGUCAAUCUUAACCGACUUGAUCGAAAGGGAAUUGCGUUAAUAUUCGUAAGCCUCUCUGCAAUUUAUGGUGACGGCUAGGGCUAGUUCGUGCACUUCUGUCAUGGAGUGUCGAAGCGUUCUAUAAUCGAUCGGAGAACCGUCAUGGUGAGAAGAUCGAAAAGACGUGAGCGAAAGACGGAUGAGGCCCUGGUCCCGUGAAAAGCCGCAGAGAUGACCGUACCGAGAACUGACACAGGUACCCAAGGUGAGUAGCCUAAGGUGUGACGGGUAAAGUACCGCGAAGGAACUCGGCAAAAUCGCCCCGUAACUUCGGGAGAAGGGGUGCCAGCUCUGAGGAGAGCUGGUCGCAGUGACUAGAGGACUCCGACUGUUUAAUAAAAACAUAGCCGACUGCUAGUUCGAAAGGAUGUGUAUAGUCGGUGAAUCCUGCUCAGUGCCGGUAUCUGAAAUUGGGUUUCAACCUAACGAAGGACCGGUAAACAGCGGGGGUAACUAUGACCCUCUUAAGGUAGCGUAAUACCUUGUCGCUUAAUUGGCGACUUGCAUGAAUGGCCCAACGAGAGUCCUACUGUCUCCGCGGUACGUCCGGCGAAAUUGACAUUACUGGCGCACAGUCCAGUACCUUCAACCUGCAAGCGAAGACCCCGUAGAGCUUUACUGCAGCCUGGCGUUGUACAAUCGCACUUCAUGUGCUGAGUAGACGGGAGAUGCUGAUCCACGGGACGCCAGUCCCGUGAGUAAUCAAACAUAGAGACACCGUCCUUGGAGUGUAAUUGUACUCACUCUUCAUGAGAACACCGCUUGGUGGGCAGUUUGGGUGGGGCGCCACGCGCUCGAAA
rnacentral:rRNA from 1 species